AAAAGUUUUGUCCUAGCUUUACAAUCAACUUCAGCCCACAUUACACAUGCAAGCAUCUACAAACCAGUGAGAAAGCCAAUACACCUUGAGCCGAUAUCAGGCACAACAAAAGUUAGCCAACAACAUCUAGCUCAGCCACACCCCCAAGGGUAAACAGCAGUGAUAAACAUUAGUGAAUAAGCACACAAGCUCGAACUAGACACGGCUGAUAAGGGUUGGCCAAUCUCGUGCCAGCCGCCGCGGUUACACGAGAGACCCGAGUUGAUAACCAACGGCGUAAAGUGUGAUACAGGACAAGUCCAAAACAUAAGACUGAAACCCAACUAAACUGUCAUACGUACAAGUAGGCGAUAAACCCAAUAAUACAAAAGUAGUCUUAAUUAAACGACCUUUCAUCAUCACAACCGCUAAGACACAAACUGGGAUUAGAUACCCCACUAUGCCUAGCCACAAACUGAAAAAACUUACAACCAUUUUCCGCCAGAACACUACGAGCUAACGCUUAAAAAUCAAAGGACUUGGCGGUGCCCAAAAUCCACCCAGAGGAGCCUGUUCUAUAAUCGAUAAUCCACGCUAAACCUCACCACUCUUUGCCAAGCAGCCUAUAUACCACCGUCUACAGCCCACCCCAUUGAGGGAAAACAAGUGGGCAAAAUGAGUCAACUAAAAACGUCAGGUCAAGGUGUAGCACAUAGAGUGGAAAGAAAUGGGCUACAUUUUCUUACCAAGAACAAACGAAAAAGCAACUGAAAAAUUCUUAGAAGGCGGAUUUGGCAGUAAAAAGAAACAAUCAUAUUCUUUUUAACACAGCCCUUGGGCGCGCACACACCGCCCGUCACCCUCAUCAACCAGCCACAUUAACUUAAUAAACAAAAUAUCACAACUCAGAAGAGGAAAGUCGUAACAUGGUAAGCGUACUGGAAAGUGCUCUUGGAAU
rnacentral:ncRNA from 1 species